CCAAUAGCGUAUAUUAAAGUUGUUGCAGUUAAAAAGCUCGUAGUUGAAUUUCGGGAUUUGUCAGUUGGUCGGGCUUCACUGUCCGUAUUGACUUGAUGGAUUCUUACCUUCUGAAUAACCAGCAUGCUAUUAAGUUAGUGCGUUGGGGAAGCAGAUCUAUUACCUUGAAAAAAUUAGAGUGCUUAAAGCGAGCUAGUGCUUGAAUAGAUUAGCAUGGAAUAAUAAAAUAGGACGGCAUGGUUCUAUUUUGUUGGUUUCUAGGAUCACCGUAAUGAUUAAUAAGGAUAGUUGGGGGCAUUAGUAUUCAAUUGUCAGAGGUUAAAUUCUUGGAUUUAUUGAAGACUAACUUCUGCGAAAGCAUUUGCCAAGGAUGUUUUCAUUAAUCAAGAUCUAAAGUUAGGGGAUCGAAGACGAUCAGAUACCGUCGUAGUCUUAACCAUAAACUAUGCCGACUAGGAAUCGGACGAUGUUAAUUUUUUAAUGACUCGUUCGGCACCUUACG
rnacentral:rRNA from 1 species